rnacentral:lncRNA from 1 species
CUCGCAAUCCUCCUGCCUCAGCCUCCAAAACAGCUGGGAUUACAAGGGCGCACCACGACGCCCGGCCAUAGAUAUGGACGCUGGGAGGAGAGACAGCCUGAGUUCCCCCAGCCACUUAGCCCUGGAGUAGCCUGGGGCAGGGAAUCUUAGUGAUCUUAUCUGUAAAUGGAGAUGAAAGAAAUGUUGUAGGGCCAGGGCCUAGUGGAACUUCACACACUCACAUUGGUGUGCAAACAUCACCUCUAUCUAGUUCCAGAACAUUUUCACACCCCAAAAGGAAACCCCUACCCACUAGGUGUUCACUCCCAUUGUUGGAUAUGGAAAAAGACAAACCCCAAAUAAUAUGGCCCAGGGGGCUGGGGUUGUGGCUCCGUGGUAGAGCGCUUGCCUAGCGCGUGAGGCACCGGGUGUUAGGAAAGGGACCGAAUCUCCCGGAGGGACACGGAGGCUAAGCAGGUGCAAGUUUAUUGUCAGGAAACCUGACAAGGCUGCCCCUGCGCAGAGACCAGCGGCAGACUCCCUCGGAGGUUAACUCUCAUUGUCAGAGCCUGG